CGGACGGGUGAGUAAUGUCUGGGAAACUAGCCUGAUGGAGGGGGGUAACUACUGGAAACGGUAGCUAAUACCGCAUAACGUCGCAAGACCAAAGAGGGGGACCUUAGGGCCUCUUGCCAUCGGAUGUGCCCAGAUGGGAUUAGCUAGUAGGUGGGGUAACGGCUCACCUAGGCGACGAUCCCUAGCUGGUCUGAGAGGAUGACCAGCCACACUGGAACUGAGACACGGUCCAG
rnacentral:rRNA from 1 species